rnacentral:rRNA from 1 species
GACGAACGCUGGCGGCGUGCCUAAUACAUGCAAGUAGAACGCAGUUGCGAACGGGUGAGUAACGCGUAGGUAACUGCCUGGUAGCGGGGGCUAAAUAUUGGAGACGCUAGCUAAUACGGCAUACUAACAGAUGGACCUGCGUUGUAUUGGCUAGGUGGGGAGGUAACGGCUCACCAAGGCAACGAUACAUAGCCGACCUGAGAGGGGUGACGGGCACCCCGGGAAUGGGAAACGGCCCAGGCUCCCACUGGAGGCAGGAGGAGGGAAUCUUCGGCAAUGGGGGGAAACCUGACCGAGCAAAGCCGCGGGAGUGAAGAAGGUUUUCGGAUCGUAAAGCUCUGUUGUUAAGGAAGCGGUACUUAACGAGAAAGGGACGGCUAACUACGUGCCAGCAGCCGCGGUAAUAC